rnacentral:rRNA from 1 species
UGAGCAAUCUGCCCUUCUCUUCGGAAUAAGCGUUGGAAACGACGUCUAAUGCCGAAUACGACCUCCUUUCGCAUGAUCGGAGGUGGAAAGCUCCGGCGGAGAAGGAUGAGCUCGCGGCCUAUCAGCUAGUUGGUGUGGGUAAUGGCCCACCAAGGCGACGACGGGUAGCCGGCCUGAGAGGGUGACCGGCCACACUGGGACUGAGACACGGCCCAGACUCCUACGGGAGGNAG